CAAGUCGAGGGGCAUCGGGAGGAAAGCUUGCUUUCCUUGCCGGCGACCGGCGCACGGGUGAGUAACACGUAUGCAACCUGCCCUCUUCAGGGGGACAACCUUCCGAAAGGGAGGCUAAUCCCGCGUAUAUCGGUUUCGGGCAUCCGAGAUCGAGGAAAGAUUCAUCGGAAGAGGAUGGGCAUGCGGCGCAUUAGCUAGACGGCGGGGUAACGGCCCACCGUGGCGACGAUGCGUAGGGGUUCUGAGAGGAAGGUCCCCCACACUGGUACUGAGACACGGACCAGACUCCUACGGGAGGCAGCAGUGAGGAAUAUUGGUCAAUGGGAGAGAUCCUGAACCAGCCAAGCCGCGUGAGGGAAGACGGCCCUAUGGGUUGUAAACCUCUUUUGUCGGAGAACAAAACCCGGGACGUGUCCCGGACUGCGUGUAUCCGAAGAAAAAGCAUCGGCUAACUCCGUGCCAGCACCCGCGGUAAUACGGAGGAUGCGAGCGUUAUCCGGAUUUAUUGGGUUUAAAGGGUGCGUAGGCGGUCCGUUAAGUCAGCGGUAAAAUUGCGGGGCUCAACCCCGUCGAGCCGUUGAAACUGGCAGACUUGAGUUGGCGAGAAGUACGCGGAAUGCGCGGUGUAGCGGUGAAAUGCAUAGAUAUCGCGCAGAACUCCGAUUGCGAAGGCAGCGUACCGGCGCCAGACUGACGCUGAGGCACGAAAGCGUGGGGAUCGAACAGGAUUAGAUACCCUGGUAGUCCACGCAGUAAACGAUGAAUGCUGG
rnacentral:rRNA from 1 species